UACGUAGGGGGCAAGCGUUGUCCGGAUUCAUUGGGCGUAAAGAGCGUGUAGGCGGCCAGGUAGGUCGGUUGUGAAAACUGGAGGCUCAACCUUCAGAGGUCGACCGAAACCAUCUGGCUUGAGCAUGGUAGAGGCUGGCGGAAUUCCCGGUGUAGCGGUGGAAUGCGUAGAGAUCCGGAGGAACACCAGCGGCGAAGGCGGCAUCCUGGACUGGUCCUGACACUCAGGAGCGAAAGCGUGGGGAGCGAUCCGG
rnacentral:rRNA from 1 species